UGCUAAGGAGAGGAUUUAAACUUCUGUACAAGCAUUU
rnacentral:tRNA from 1 species